UUAUUUAGAAAUAUAAAGAUUAGAGUAGUAAUAGUUAUGGUCUUGAAACUCAAAAAAUUUGGCGGUAUUUUAGUCUAUUCAGAGGAACCUGUAAUGUAAUCGAUAAUCCACGAUGGAUCUUACUUAAUCUUGUAAUUUAAUUUGUAUAUCGCCGUUAUUUGAAAAUUUUAUAAGAAAAAUAAUUUUCUAAAAUUUUUAUUAAAAAAUAAAUCAGGUCAAGGUGCAGUUUAUGAUUAAGUUUUAUAUGGGUUACAAUAAAUUUAUUUAUACGGAUUAAAAAAUGAAAUAUUUUUAAAAAGGUGGAUUUGAUAGUAAAUUUUUAAAGAUAAAAAAAUUGAUU
rnacentral:rRNA from 1 species